rnacentral:tRNA from 1 species
GCGAGCGUAGCCAAGUGGUUAAGGCAGUGGGUUGUGGUUCCAUCAUGCGCGGGUUCAAAUCCCGUCGUUCGCC